AGUGAACGCUGGCGGCAGGCCUAAUACAUGCAAGUCGAACGGCAGCACAGCAGAGCUUGCUCUGUGGGUGGCGAGUGGCGGACGGGUGAGGAAUACGUGGGAAUCUGCCCGGUCGUGGGGGAUAACGUAGGGAAACUUACGCUAAUACCGCAUGCGCCCUUCGGGGGAAAGCCGGGGACCUUCGGGCCUGGCGCGAUUGGAUGAGCCCACGUCGGAUUAGCUAGUUGGCGGGGUAAAGCCCACCAAGGCGACGAUCCGUAGCUGGUCUGAGAGGAUGAUCAGCCACACUGGAACUGAGACACGGUCCAGACUCCUACGGGAGCAGCAGUAGGGAAUAUUGGACAAUGGGCGCAAGCCUGAUCCAGCCAUGCCGCGUGAGUGAAGAAGGCCCUCGGGUUGUAAAGCUCUUUUGUCCGGAAAGAAAGCGCCGGGUUAAUACCCUGGUGUCCUGACGGUACCGAAGAAUGAGCACCGGCUAACUUCGUGCCAGCAGCCGCGGUAAU
rnacentral:rRNA from 1 species